rnacentral:ncRNA from 2 species
UGUCAUCAUCAAGAAUCCUUGAAUGGAUACCAACCGAGUAUAAUCCACGGUGGUAAAAACGAUGUGGUCCGUAGGAAGGACAAAAACCUACCCCCAC